AUUGAAUGCUGGCGGCAUGCCUUACACAUGCAAGUCGAACGGCAGCACGGGAGCAAUCCUGGUGGCGAGUGGCGAACGGGUGAGUAAUAUAUCGGAACGUGCCCGGUCGUGGGGAUAACGUAGCGAAAGCUACGCUAAUACCGCAUACGAUCUACGGAUGAAAGCGGGGGAUCGCAAGACCUCGCGCGAUUGGAGCGGCCGAUAUCAGAUUAGGUAGUUGGUGAGGUAAAGGCUCACCAAGCCGACGAUCUGUAGCUGGUCUGAGAGGACGACCAGCCACACUGGGACUGAGACACGGCCCAGACUCCUACGGGAGGCAGCAGUGGGGAAUUUUGGACAAUGGGCGCAAGCCUGAUCCAGCAAUGCCGCGUGCAGGAUGAAGGCCUUCGGUUGUAAACUGCUUUUGUACGGUAACGAAACGGUAGAGCUCUAAUACAGUUUGCUAAUGACGGUACCGUAAGAAUAAGACACCGGCUAACUACGUAG
rnacentral:rRNA from 1 species